GGGGAAUAUUGGACAAUGGACCGAGAGUCUGAUCCAGCAAUUCUGUGUGCACAAUGAAGUUUUUCGGAAUGUAAAGUGCUUUCAGUUGGGAAGAAAAAAAUGACGGUACCAACAGAAGAAGUGACGGCUAAAUACGUGCCAGCAGCCGCGGUAAUACGUAUGUCACAAGCGUUAUCCGGAUUUAUUGGGCGUAAAGCGCGUCUAGGCGGCUAUGUAAGUCUGAUGUGAAAAUGCGGGGCUCAACUCCGUAUUGCGUUGGAAACUGUGUAGCUAGAGUAUCGGAGAGGUAAGCGGAACUACAAGUGUAGAGGUGAAAUUCGUAGAUAUUUGUAGGAAUGCCGAUGGGGAAGCCAGCUUACUGGACGAAUACUGACGCUAAAGCGCGAAAGCGUGGGUAGCAAACAGGAUUAGAUACCCUGGUAGUCCACGCCGUAAACGAUGAUUACUAGGUGUUGGGGGUCGAACCUCAGCGCCCAAGCUAACGCGAUAAGUAAUCCGCCUGGGGAGUACAUACGCAAGUAUG
rnacentral:rRNA from 1 species